UUAAAAAAAAACCCUAAUAAAAUGUUUAAAACAUAACAUUUCUGUCAUGAUAAAAAAAUAACAGCAAAUAGGAAAAAAGUAAAGAAUUAGAAAACGCAGAAAACCUGGUUUCCAACAGUUCCAACGUGCUAAUGUGAGCUGAAGAUGACUGACGGCAGUGUAGAACCGACUUUGGACCUGAAACCAAGCCAGAACGUCGGGACGGAGAUGUAGCUGUUCUUUGAUCCACUUUGGUUUCAGCCGACUGUAGAAAUGACCUCCAGAUGUGAAGAAUAAGCAACCCUGAUUUAUUAAAAAAUCACUUUUUUUGGUGACUUCUUUGACCAAACAGAACAUAAAUCAUCUUUAGUUUCAUUCUAUUUUGUCUAGGUUUUUGAUGGAGGACAUAUAGACAGAAAAUUAAGAUUAAAAUUGCAUUUCUGAUUCAAAUAAAUCAGAAGAGAAGAAAAAAAGACAUUUGAUCGUAUUUGUGGUGCAGAAAGUACACUAGGUGGGCUGCUCCGCUCCAUUCUGAUAGUAUAGUUAUGACGGUGACAUAAAUCCUUGGAAAAUUUGAUAUAUUUUAUUGGAUGUUCCCUAGUUGACAUUUUUCCAAUAGUUUUGUCUUUGCUUUUUUUGAUUUUUCCAUCUUUCUUUUAUUUAUAUGCUUCAGAUCUUUGUAAUAAAACAUGAAAAACAGUUUAAUAUCAAUAUGAAGCAUUUCAUUUUCCUCUCUGGAUUGUGAUUUUUAGAUAGUUUCAAGUUUAUUUUAUAUUUGAUGAAAGAAAUAUCUGUUCAAAAAAAAGCUUUGGAUGCCAAAAAAACUAGUUUAAAGGUAAAUUUUUAAAGCAAAUUUGUACAGUAUUAAAAAACAUUCACAGGGCACCAAUUUACUUUAAGGAUUCAUUCAAAUCUUUUUCUAUUCUGCUUCUUCGCUUUCGUUUUGUCCUAUUUUCUUAAGAAACACUUAUAAAUUGAAUCAGAUAUUCCUUUUUCUGUUUGUCUUGACUUCUAUUUCUACACCAGUUAUCAUUUUUUCAUGUUAACAUCAGGUUUUAAUCAGUCGAUGCCAUAAUUUUGAAACCAUUAAAUCCCAAUUUUUCCUGUUCAAACCUCAGCGUCUGUAACAGAAUCUUUGUCAUACUUGAUCAUUUGAUGUUGUACAAUGGCCUCCACGCAUUUAACGCACUUCAGCCUCCAGCAAGAUGACAUGAUGGGUAUUAGCUGCUGUAAGUAACAGGCAGCAGGGUAGCCGGAGGAAACGGGUCAGCUCAAAGCCUAUUAAUCAUGGAAAUGCUCCCAAAUCCACUCCUUGAAUAAUCCCUCUCAUAUUUGCAGAGGCCUCCUUCGUGGUUCGGUUAAUUCCAUGUCAAGAAUCUGCACAGACUCCUUGCUCCCCCCACUUCCCGCUCAACAUUACAGCAUUUGAUCAUCCUGUGAUGGAGUUUUGUAUUUUGCUUUUGGGCCCUCAUCCUCUCCGUCAGACAGCAGCGACAGGCUUUGGUCACUGAUGCAGAGAUGCAGAGAUGCUGAGGAUGAGUGGAGGUGUUCAGAAAUCCCGGUGGGAGCCAGUUUGCUGCAGAGCGAGUCCAGGCUCUAAGAGUUUCCAUCAGAAAUGUUCCUGAACCUGCUUCUGUUCAUGUCAGCAAACAAAGCAGAGGAGGAGCUGGAGGUGGAUGUAGUGAGUGGGCGAUGCGCUCGGCGAGUUUUGGUGAAGAGGAGAGGUGGUGGUGGAGGUGAUAGGUGAUGCUGAAAGGCAGCUCCUGACCUUUAAUGAGCAGAAACCUGCAUUUUGUGUCGUCCCUUACUAAUUGCACAUUUUCUAAGCUGAUUGUAAGCUGGUUUUGCUUUUGAAUAAACUAAAAAAAGAAUUCCUGCAUUCUCAGAAAUCCUUGGCUGGAAGUCUGUUUAGCCUCCUGGGAUUUGUUUGGUUUAUUUUGUAAGUGCAGUAUGUGUUUACUCGCCACUGACAGGCUUCACAUGGCUUUGUUUUGUUGUUUUGCAGCAACAAUUUCAGUGAAUAAAAAGGCCUUUAGGGUUUUAUCAUUAUGCAAAAAAAAAAAA